GAUGAACGCUGGCGGCGUGCCUAAUACAUGCAAGUCGAGCGAACAGACGAGGAACUUGCUCCUCUGACGUUAGCGGUGGACGGGUGAGUAACACGUGGAUAACCUACCUAUAAGACUGGGAUAACUUCGGGAAACCGGAGCUAAUACCGGAUAACAUGUUGAACCGCAUGGUUCAACAGUGGAAGACGGUCUUGCUGUCACUUAUAGAUGGAUCCGCGCCGCAUUAGCUAGUUGGUAAGGUAACGGCUUACCAAGGCAACGAUGCGUAGCCGACCUGAGAGGGUGAUCGGCCACACUGGAACUGAGACACGGUCCAGACUCCUACGGGAGGCAGCAGUAGGGAAUCUUCCGCAAUGGGCGAAAGCCUGACGGAGCAACGCCGCGUGAGUGAAGAAGGUCUUCGGGUCGUAAAACUCUGUUAUUAGGGAAGAACAAAUGUGUAAGUAACUAUGCACGUCUUGACGGUACCUAAUCAGAAAGCCACGGCUAACUACGUGCCAGCCGCCGCAGUAA
rnacentral:rRNA from 1 species